GGAAGCAGCUUGCUGCUUUGCUGACGAGUGGCGGACGGGUGAGUAAUGUCUGGGAAACUGCCUGAUGGAGGGGGAUAACUACUGGAAACGGUGGCUAAUACCGCAUAACGUCGCAAGACCAAAGAGGGGGACCUUCGGGCCUCUUGCCAUCAGAUGUGCCCAGAUGGGAUUAGCUUGUUGGUGAGGUAACGGCUCACCAAGGCGACGAUCCCUAGCUGGUCUGAGAGGAUGACCAGCCACACUGGAACUGAGACACGGUCCAGACUCCUACGGGAGGCAGCAGUGGGGAAUAUUGCACAAUGGGCGCAAGCCUGAUGCAGCCAUGCCGCGUGUAUGAAGAAGGCCUUCGGGUUGUAAAGUACUUUCAGCGGGGAGG
rnacentral:rRNA from 1 species